rnacentral:tRNA from 1 species
GCCCGGGUGGUGAAAUUGGUAGACACAAGGGAUUUAAAAUCCCUCGAUAGCAAUAUCGUGCCGGUUCAAGUCCGGCUCCGGGUACCA